rnacentral:rRNA from 1 species
AUACGGAGGAUCCGAGCGUUAUCCGGAUUUAUUGGGUUUAAAGGGUGCGCAGGCGGCCAUUUAAGUCAGCGGUUAAAUCGUGGGGCUCAACCCCAUUCUGCCGUUGAUACUGGAUGGCUUGAUUGCGGUCGAGGUUGGCGGAAUUCGUUGUGUAGCGGUGAAAUGCAUAGAUAUGACGAAGAACACCGAUUGCGUAGGCAGCUGACCAGACCGCAAAUGACGCUCAUGCACGAAAGUGCGGGGAUCGAACAGGAUUAGAUACCCUGGUAGUCCGCACAGUAAACGAUGAAUACUUGUUUUCGGCGAUAUAAUGUCGGAGGCAAAGCGAAAGCGAUAAGUAUUCCACCUGGGGAGUACGCCGGCAACGGUGAAACUCAAAGGAAUUGACGGGG